rnacentral:rRNA from 1 species
GACAGAGGUGCCGAGCGUAAUCGGAAUUACUGGGCGUAAAGCGUGCGCAGGCGGCUUCGCAAGUCAGGCGUGAAAUCCCCCGGGCUUAACCUGGGAAUGGCGUCUGAAAACUACGGAGCUGGAGUGUGGCAGAGGGAGGUAGAAUUCCACGUGUAGCGGUGAAAUGCGUAGAGAUCGGGAGGAACACCAGUGGCGAAGGCGGCCAUCUGGAUCAACACUGACGCUGAGGCACGAAAGCGUGGGGAGCAAACAGGG